CUGGCACUAACCUUUGUGCCCUUCUAUAAUAUCUAAGUUGAAAGAAAUCACCCUAGGUCACCUUCAUAUUCAAGUGAUGUUGAUGAUUUAAAGGUGUAGCUAUAGACUUCUCCCCUCCACGCAAGAUUCCUGAGCUGUCCAACCUGGCUCGCCAAAUAUCAUCAACGUGAACUGUUGAUAAGAUAAAUCUGAGUUUAUUGCUUACCUAGAAGUGACGGGUCUUUUGGGAAGUUCCUGUAAUGAAUAAUCAAGCCAUUUGCCUGGGCAGAAGACUCCCGGAAAAAGAAAGCCAUGCUGAUGAAGCCAGAAGAACAGAAAGUCGUGCUGAUGUAGACAGCCUGGAGACCCUAUGACCCAAGAGAAUUAGGGAGGAAUGUAUCCCCACUUGAACCACAGAGGGCAUAACAAAAGAAUACUCUGGAUGAAAGUGACUUCCGAACUUCAAUCUCUGUCUAAGAUUCACAGGCUUGAUAUUAC
rnacentral:lncRNA from 1 species